rnacentral:rRNA from 1 species
AUUGAACGCUGGCGGCAUGCCUUACACAUGCAAGUCGAACGGCAGCACGGGAGCAAUCCUGGUGGCGAGUGGCGAGCGGGUGAGUAAUAUAUCGGAACGUGCCCAGUCGUGGGGGAUAACGCAGCGAAAGCUGUGCUAAUACCGCAUACGAUCUAAGGAUGAAAGCGGGGGAUCGCAAGACCUCGCGCGAUUGGAGCGGCCGAUAUCAGAUUAGCUAGUUGGUGGGGUAAAGGCCCACCAAGGCGACGAUCUGUAGCUGGUCUGAGAGGACGACCAGCCACACUGGAACUGAGACACGGUCCAGACUCCUACGGGAGGCAGCAGUGGGGAAUUUUGGACAAUGGGCGCAAGCCUGAUCCAGCAAUGCCACGUGCAGGAUGAAGGCCUUCGGGUUGUAAACUGCUUUUGUACGGAACGAAACGGCCCUUUCUAAUACAGGGGGCUAAUGACGGUACCGUAAGAAUAAGCACCGGCUAACUACGUGCCAGCCGCCGCUGUAAAAC